rfam:Clostridium sp. JC272 contig39, whole genome shotgun sequence.
GAUAUUUAAGGGCAAAACUAGGGAAAUCUAGCUACGCAAAACUAUAGGGGCUAAGGCUUUGAAAAGCUAUGCUCGCCAGUUACCGAA